CACGUAGUUAGCCGGUGCUUAUUCUUCAGGUACCGUCAUCCUCCCGGGGUAUCAGCCCAGAAGAUUUCUUCCCUGACAAAAGCAGUUUACAACCCGAAGGCCUUCUUCCUGCAUGCGGCAUUGCUGGAUCAGGCUUGCGCCCAUUGUCCAAAAUUCCCCACUGCUGCCUCCCGUAGGAGUCUGGGCCGUGUCUCAGUCCCAGUGUGGCUGGUCGUCCUCUCAGACCAACUACAGAUCGUUGCCUUGGUAGGCCUUUACCCACCAACUAGCUAAUCUGACAUCGGCCGCUCCAAUCGCGCGAGGCCUUACGGUCCCCCGCUUUCACCCUCAGGUCGUAUGCGGUAUUAGCUGCUCUUUCGAGCAGUUAUCCCCCACGACUGGGCACGUUCCGAUGCAUUACUCACCCGUUCGCCACUCGUCAGCGUCCGAAGACCUGUUACCGUUGACUUGCAUGUGUAAGGCAUGCCGCAGCGUUCAAUCUGAGCCAGGAUACUAAA
rnacentral:rRNA from 1 species